CUUGGUCAUUUAGAGGAAGUAAAAGUCGUAACAAGGUCUCCGUUGGUGAACCAGCGGAGGGAUCAUUAAAGAGUUAAAAACAACUCCUAAACCCAUGUGAAACCUACCUUUGUUGCCUCGGCAGGUCUGCAACUUACCCUGAGGGUACCUACCCUGUAGGUACCUUACCCGGUAGUUGCCGGCAUAACCUGCCGGUGGUCUACUAAACUCUGUUUACUAUGUCAUUCUGAAUAAUAUAACUAAAUAAGUUAAAACUUUCAACAACGGAUCUCUUGGUUCUGGCAUCGAUGAAGAACGCAGCGAAAUGCGAUAAGUAAUGUGAAUUGCAGAAUUCAGUGAAUCAUCGAAUCUUUGAACGCACAUUGCGCCCAUUAGUAUUCUAGUGGGCAUGCCUGUUCGAGCGUCAUUUCAACCCUUAAGCCCUGUUGCUUAGCGUUGGGAGCCUACAGAUACCCUCUGUAGUUCCUUAAAGUUAGUGGCGGAGUCGGUUUCACACUCUAGACGUAGUAAAUUUUAUCUCGCCUAUAGAUGAGCCGGUCCCUUGCCGUAAAACCCCCUAAUUUCUAAAGGUUGACCUCGGAUCAGGUAGGAAUACCCGCUGAACUUAAGCAUAUCAAUAAGCGGAGGA
rnacentral:rRNA from 1 species